UAAUACGGAGGGUGCAAGCGUUAAUCGGAAUUACUGGGCGUAAAGCGCACGCAGGCGGUUUGUUAAGUCAGAUGUGAAAUCCCCGGGCUCAACCUGGGAACUGCAUCUGAUACUGGCAAGCUUGAGUCUCGUAGAGGGGGGUAGAAUUCCAGGUGUAGCGGUGAAAUGCGUAGAGAUCUGGAGGAAUACCGGUGGCGAAGGCGGCCCCCUGGACGAAGACUGACGCUCAGGUGCGAAAGCGUGGGGAGCAAACAGGAUUAGAUACCCUGGUAGUCCACGCCGUAAACGAUGUCGACUUGGAGGUUGUGCCCUUGAGGCGUGGCUUCCGGAGCUAACGCGUUAAGUCGACCGCCUGGGGAGUACGGCCGCAAGGUUAAAACUCAAAUGAAUUGACGG
rnacentral:rRNA from 1 species